UACAGAGGUCUCAAGCGUUGUUCGGAUUCAUUGGGCGUAAAGGGUGCGUAGGCGGCGCGGUAAGUCGGGUGUGAAAUCUCGGAGCUUAACUCCGAAACUGCAUUCGAUACUGCCGUGCUUGAGGACUGGAGAGGAGACUGGAAUUUACGGUGUAGCGGUGAAAUGCGUAGAUAUCGGAAGGAAGACCAGUGGCGAAGGCGGGUCUCUGGACAGCUCCUGACGCUGAGGCGCGAAGGCUAGGGGAGCAAACGGG
rnacentral:rRNA from 1 species